UACUAGUCACAACCAGUGGGAACCACAACAUGGAUCAGAGCAUCACUAUAUCCUACACAGUUUUUUGACCUAACUAUCUGUUUGUUGGAGUCAACUCGAGAGUCAAAGUUUUGGAGUGACAAUUAAUCCAAUAAGGUUACUUGGGGGAGCAAUCUGCUGUUUUUGACAAAACAUUGUUAGAUUUUUCCUCAAUACCACACAUUCAGUUAUUGUGCUGUAGCACCCACCAUUUUGGCUGGUCAGAUCGAUCCUGUUCUUUUUUAAGCUCUAUGUGCAUCUCAGCAUGCGAUUUUUUUCUUUGCCAGGGUCCCAUGAAUAUGGGAGAAUUAUUCU